UGAACGCUGGCGGUAGGCCUAACACAUGCACGUCGAACGGCAGCACAGUAAGAGCUUGCUCUUACGGGUGGCGAGUGGCGGACGGGUGAGGAAUACAUCGGAAUCUACUUUUUCGUGGGGGAUAACGUAGGGAAACUUACGCUAAUACCGCAUACGACCUACGGGUGAAAGCAGGGGAUCUUCGGACCUUGCGCGAUUGAAUGAGCCGAUGUCGGAUUAGCUAGUUGGCGGGGUAAAGGCCCACCAAGGCGACGAUCCGUAGCUGGUCUGAGAGGAUGAUCAGCCACACUGGAACUGAGACACGGUCCAGACUCCUACGGGAGGCAGCAGUGGGGAGUAUUGGACAAUGGGCGCAAGCCUGAUCCAGCCAUACCGCGUGGGUGAAGAAGGCCUUCGGGUUGUAAAGCCCUUUUGUUGGGAAAGAAAAGCAGCAGGUUAAUACCCCGCUGUUCUGACGGUACCCAAAGAAUAAGCACCGGCUAACUUCGUG
rnacentral:rRNA from 1 species